AGCAUCAGUAGAAUAUGGCAAGAAAAAACAUGGUUCCAUGCUUCCAAGCAACUUGUUUGAUAGUGGCAAAACCGUCACAGGUCCUCCCCAUCCGAAAUCAAUCGUGGAAUGCCCCAAGUAUCGCCAGUCCGUGAAUCCGGUCACUCCUGUUUUACACAAUCCCAACAAGAAAACCAAAAAAGCAUGAAACUUUGACUUUGCUCUUGGAAGUCGAUAAAGGAGCGUACAUAUUCAUCACUCGUAUUGGAUUUGCUCUGUUUUAUGAGCUCUGCAGUUUUCCAGAUUGGUUGCUCAAUGAGUUCUCCAGCUUUGAUCUGAGCAUACAUUGGCACACAUCCGUUUCCCCAGUAGCCUUUAGGCAAAGAUCAAACAUUUCAAGAAAUUUGAUGAAUUAAACAUCGCGAAGAAGGGGUUUACUUACUUCGCACGCCAAAUGUAAGCACCUAGAGCUUCGAAUGUGGUGAAAUUCACACCCGAUUUCUCGAGUAAUUGAGCCUUCAAUUGGUCCAAAGACUCGUCGGUCACGAAGAAGCACUCUCUCUUGACGUCUCCAAUGGCUUGUCCAUAUGGAUCAAAGUCCUUAUCCAGGCUCAAGAAGUCACGAACUGGAGCUCCAACCCAAGGCUUCUCCCUUGGACCAAGUAAUCGUUCUCUGUCCCAAGCUGGUUCAAUCGAGAUCUUAGUCGCUCCACGAGCUAAUUCCGCCAUAGCGUUGAAGAAAAGACUCGCACCUAACCCAUCACAGAUCGCGUGGUGAAUCGCUGCUCCUAAAACCCAACCACCACACUGAAACAUCGUGACUUGGAGUAUACACGGAUUAACCAUUCCUUCCUCCCGGGUCGGAUCCGGUACCAAUCUUUCGACAAAACCUGGAUCGGGUCCAUCCAAAUACCCGACGGACUCAAGCGUACAGUUAACAGAAGCGUUGACUAAAGGCACGCUUUGACCAGCAGCACAGUAUAGUUCAAAACGGUUAUCGGUGGCAGAGCGACGGAGAGAGCCAGCGAGAGGGUAAUAAUGGACAAGAGCAGUGGCGAGAGAAGCGGAGACGACUUCAGAGGGGCUUUUCCCGGCGACGGUGGAAGAGGAGGAGUAGACGCGGAGGUAACGGAAGCUGACGUGGAGGUUGUUAUCGUUAUCAAGAUGAGAGAGAGAGAGUGUCUGGUCGUUGGAGAGUGGUUGGUGAGAAGGUUGAACCAGGGCUAUUUCGGUAAUUUCAAGUGUCGCCAUACCUUAAUAUUAAGAUUGGGGUAUGGGGUCUUUGUUGCUUCCAAAAUAAGUUUUGGGGUCCAAAUAUAUAAUAUCGAUCAGAGAAGCAAAAUCAAUGCCUUGAGGACAGCUCACGAGAGUAGGGGCUUCACCAACUACCAAACAGUCAAGUCCCAUGUCCAAAUUUCUUACCUACAACACUUUCAAACAAACCAUUUUAGUCUUUUUCUUAUUCAUACUUGUCUUCACUGUUUUUAUGAUCGUGUUUGUAUGAAUCUUUUCAAUCAUGCUUGUUGUCUUCACUGUU